rnacentral:lncRNA from 1 species
UUUUGUCUCGGCCGAAAGCAGAGACAAGUCUCUCCCAACACCUGCGCCAACAGAUGUGCUACCGCCAGAACAAAGGCUACGCCUUAAUAUGCAUGUCAGCGAACGGUUGAACACUGAUUGCGCUUACUUAAAUUCUAAUGAUGUUCAUUUUGUCGCACAGCGCCGGGCUAAUGAUUUACUUCAUUCCUAUGACGAACGAAGCCACAUUGCUGAACCAGCCACAAGUACAACAAAAGGAUGGCUGAGGAGAACACAGUCAAUAUGAAUAUCAGAUUGCACCCCUUGAUUGUUUAGUGUGUUUGAUACGAGGCAUAAUAAAGUGUCAAGGGGUUGGCUUCAACCUAGAGAGAUAGCCACACAGAGGGGGGAGGCAUCAUUAAACCACUCCCCUGGCUAUACCAGCGGUUUAUAUCAUAUGGUCAUGAUCAGUAAAACACAUAGUUGUCAAAGUCAGAAAUAUCCUUUUUCACAAGACGAUCCCAGUACUGAUGUAUUUCAUUCAUUUAUGGUUUGAAUAAAAAGAAAAGAAUACAGAAAAC